UAUUUUUUUAUAAAUCAAAACUUACCAAAACCACAUUUCUAAAAAAACAGCAACAACAAUGAUGGAUACGACAGAGUAGCCCAAAGCCGAAACCAGCAGAAUUUCUAAAGACAUGACUGACUCCUCCAAGAAUGUCAUGCAUAUUUUUCAGAUUCAAGUUUUGAGAUGAGGACUGUGACUUUAAGAUAGGAAUUUUCUUUUUUCUUUUUUUCUUUCCAAAUGUUGUCUUUAUUUGUGCAAAAAUACUUAACGGUUAGCAUGUUUCACACACAGCAAAAUUGGCACAUCAAAGAAUCCUUCAAAGCAGAAUGUUGCUACAACUGUGCACUCUUUCAACCAGCUCACAAAGAUCUAGACCAGGGACAUUCAGGUACCGGUAAUUAGAAGUGCGAUAACAUCAGAGUUGAAGGCCUUUAACAGGCAUUGUGAAAGGAGCUUCUUGUUUAUGAGGUGACUCUACCACACUACUCUAAAUGUGCAUGAGAGGUUUAUUUAG